UACGAAGGGGCUAGCGUUGCUCGGAAUCACUGGGUGUAAAGGGUGCGUAGGCGGGUCUUUAAGUCAGGGGUGAAAUCCUGGAGCUCAACUCCAGAACUGCCUUUGAUACUGAAGAUCUUGAGUUCGGGAGAGGUGAGUGGAACUGCGAGUGUAGAGGUGAAAUUCGUAGAUAUUCGCAAGAACACCAGUGGCGAAGGCGGCUCACUGGCCCGAUACUGACGCUGAUGCACGAAAGCGUGGGGAGCAAACAGG
rnacentral:rRNA from 1 species